UACAGAGGGGGCGAGCGUUAUUCGGAAUUAUUGGGCGUAAAGGGCGCGUAGGCGGCUUUGCAAGUGACGGGUGAAAUCCCUCGGCUUAACCGAGGAACUGCCUGUCAGACUGUAAGGCUUGAGACCGGGAGAGGUGAGUGGAAUUCCCAGUGUAGCGGUGAAAUGCGUAGAUAUUGGGAGGAACACCAGUGGCGAAGGCGGCUCACUGGACCGGUACUGACGCUGAGGCGCGAAAGCGUGGGGAGCAAACAGG
rnacentral:rRNA from 1 species